AGUUUAUUUUGUUUAUUUUUUUUGUUUGUUUUAAAUCCAGUAAAAUUGGAAUGAUUCAUCAUCAGGACAGCAAUUAGGGAUUGGUCAUAUAGGUGGACAGGAAAAAGGAGGGGAGGCAGGGGAGGCAAGGCUCUUGCUGGGCACGCGGACACGAUACCCAGGCCGGUGGCCACACUUGCAAUGGAGAGGAAGGGGUAGGACUGGGGCAGGAUGACAGUAGGUAUGUCAGGGGUGGGUGGGGCACUUGGAUCGGGCUGCCUGGCUCUCACUUCUUGUUUUUGAGCUGAUUGGCUAGCCAGUCCAGGCCUUCGUACAGCCCAUCCCCGCUGGUGGCACAGGUGGCCUGAAUGUACCAGUUAUGGUGAUGAAGGGAAUGCAGGCCCAGCUUGUCUGUGAUCUCAGCAGCGUUCAUAGCAUUAGGCAGAUCCUGUUUGUUUGCAAAAACAAGGAGCACAGCAUCCUCAUCAGCUCUUCCCGGGCCUCACUCACUCGCUCCCCAUCAUUGCUGUCGACCACAAAUAUCAACCCUUGGGUGUUCUGGAAAUAGUGUCUCCAGAGGGGCCGAGUAUGCUCAGGCUUCAGAAGAGGCUCGCCUCUAGUGUCCUCCGCUGUGGCAAGAAGAAGGUCUGGUUGGACCCGAAUGAGACCAAUGAAAUCGCCAAUGCUAACUCGUCAGCAGAUCCGGAAACUGAUCAAAGAUGGGCUGAUCAUCCGAAAGCCUGUGACGGUCCAUUCCCAGGCUCGCUGCCGGAGAAACACCUUGGCCCGCCGGAAGGGCAGGCACAUGGGCAUAGGUAAGCGUAAGGGUACAGCCAAUGCCCGAAGGCCAGAGAAGGUCACAUGGAUGAGGAGAAUGAGGAUUCUGUGCCGGCUGCUCAGUAGAUACCGGGAACCUAAGAAAAUUGAUCGCCGCAUGUAUCACAGCCUCUACCUGAAGGUGAAGGGGAAUGUGUUCAAAAACAAGCGGAUUCUCAUGGAACACAUCCACAAGCUGAAGGCAGACAAGGCCCGCAGGAAGCUCCCGGCUGACCUGGCUGAGGCCCGCCAGCGCCGUGAAGAGCGCCUCCAGGCCAAAAAGGAGAUCAUCAAAACUUUUCCAAGGAGGAAGAGACCAAGAAAUAAAAGCUCCCCCUUUGUCUGUACAUACUGGCCUCCGUGAUUACAUAGAUCAGCCAUUAAAAUAAAACGAGCCUUAAAAAAAAAAAAAAAAAAAAGAGAGAGACCAAAGGUGGAAUUAUCUUGCUUUACCCUUCUGGAAGAAUUGUGUGAUGAAAUGUAUUAGUUAUAUAUUGCUGCAUAGCAACUUACCUCAAAAUGUAAUGGCUUAGAAUAAGAACAAAUGUUUAUUUCUUAUAGUAUGGGUCAGAUAUGAAGAAGUGGUUUAGCUGGCAGCUGUGGCUUGAGGUCUCUUGGGAGGUUGUACUCAAGAUGUGAGCUAGACUGCAGCUGUCUGAGGCUUGUCUGGUGCUGGAAGAUUUACUUCUAAGGUAAUAUUUGCCUGCAUUUUGGUGCUGGUUGCUGAGAGAACACUGCAUUUCUCCUUGCCAGCCUCGUGCUGGCUUCUUGAGCGUCCACGUGACAUGGUGGCUGAAUUCCCAGAGCGAGUAGUCCAGGAGGCCAAAGAUGAGGCAGCAAUGUCUUUUAUGGCCCAGGCUUGGAAGUCAUAGACUGCCGGCUCUACCAUAUUCUCGUGCAUAGGUCAGCCCCAAUUCAGUGUGGUUGGGACAAUGAUAGGAGGUGGGGUACCUGAGGGACAUCUUGGAGACUGACUGCUGUCCCAACGGCUAUUCAGCUUAAAGGCCAGCUUAUCUCUUUUUUAUUUUUCUUUGAGCUGGAGUCUUGCUCUGUUGCCCAGGCUGGAGUGCAGUGGUGCAAUCUCGGCUCAGUGCAACCUCCGCCUCCCAGGUUCAAGCAAUUCUCCUGCCUCAGCCUCCCAAGUAGCUGGGACUCCAUGCACAUGCCACCAUGCCUGGAUAAUUUUUCGUAUUUUUUUUAGUAGAGACUAGGUUUCACUGUGUUAGCCAGGAUGGUUUCGAUCUCCUGACUUCGUGAUCCCCUGAUCUUGGCCUCCCAAAGUACUGGGAUUACAGGUGUGAGCCAUUGCACCAGGCCACAUGUUUUCUCUUAAAGAGAGAGUCAUAUUUGUUUACUGCUCUAUCUCCAAUGCUGCAGCAGUACCUAGCAUGUAGUCAGUGCUCCAUGCAUAUUUAGGGAAUGCACGAUUUUAUGAACAAAAGACAUUACUUUCAAGAAGUGCUUUCUAGUUUGUAAAGUCAUUUUCCAGAUGUUUUACAAGUUGGUUCCUACCUCUGUGAGGUAGAGAGGGCUCGUAUUAUGAAUACUACUUUAGAGAAGAGUGAACAUACAGUCACAUAUGAAAACCAUUGUCCAAAUUCAUGCAGCCCGGAAUCCAAUGCUCUUUCCUCACGCUCUCCUCCUAUCACAUGAUCAUGUCAUGACCCCAGUUCCCCGGGCUUCAUCCAUGUUCAUGGCUGUGAGGUGGGUGUCUUGAAGGGUAGAUGAAAUGACCUCUGGGAGGCUGGGACAAACCCUUUCUAUGGUUUAUGGGCAGGUCUGCUGUGAUGCCGGGGACAUUUAAGCCACAAGGCUCGCAGUUGCACGGAUGCUUUCAGGACAGUUCUUGACUUUGUUUUCCAAGUGCAAACCAUCUAUGUGUGAUUACAUGUGAUAAACUGAUACAAAUUCUAGAAGACGGUGACCUGCUGUUUAGCAAUAUUGACAGUCAUUAAUGGCAGUGCGGCUGUAAGCAUCCCUCAAAGGCAUCAAUAGGUCUUAGAAUAGAUGGAUGAUUCACUUAAUCUCACAGGAGACAUGUUUUUAAGGAAACCUGAAGUCAUUGACAAUUUCAUUGUUUUCCAACAGUUAUUUUUUCCCCCUUUUUAGUAUAUUUUAGAGGUGAGGUCUUGCUCUGUUAUCCAGGCUGGAGUGCAGCGGCACGAACUUAGCUCACUACAGCCUCGAACUCCUGGACUCAAGUGAUCCUCCCACCUCAGCCUCCUGAGUAGCUGAGAUUGCAUGUGCAUACCACCAUGUCUGGGUAUUUAUUUAAUUUUUUGUAGAGAUAGGGUCUUUUUUUUUUGAGACGGAGUUUCGCUCUUGUUACCCACGCUGGAGUGCAAUGGCGCGAUCUCGGCUCACCGCAACCUCCGCCUCCUGGGUUCAGGCAAUUCUCCUGCCUCAGCCUCCUGAGUAGCUGGGAUUACAGGCACGCGCCACCAUGCCCAGCUAAUUUUUUGUAUUUUUAGUAGAGAUGGGGUUUCACCAUGUUGACCAGGAUGGUCUCGAUCUCUUGACCUCGUGAUCCACCCGCCUCGGCCUCCCAAAGUGCUGGGAUUACAGGCUUGAGCCACCGUGCCCGGCCAAGAUUGGGUCUUUCUAUGUUGCCCAGGCUUCAUAGAAGAAAUAUUUUGAACAUAGAUACAAACUUGAAUUUUUCUUUAGCUAAACUGAGAAAAAUCAGAUAAAAAUUAAUAAAUUAUGAAAAUUGGUUGAUAAAAUCAACCCCAAUUAUUUUGAUUUUAAGAAACAGGUUGUAACAAAAAAACUCAGUGCCAAAGACAUUCCUUCGUUAAGAAGAGGUACAUUUUGAAGAUAAGUAAUGAACAAGGUCUUGGACAGUUGGUAGUCCCAUCUCUAGGGAGGGCUCAUCUGGGGAUGCGGAGGCUUCCAAGAGAAGGCACAUCUCCCUCUCAGCCCAGCCCCUGUGGGAUACAGCUCCUAAAAGCCUUGGCCAGACAGGGAGUUCCAGUGAGCUGGGGUUUCUCCUGCAGGCUCAUGCCCACCCAGCUUCUCUUCUGACCUAUGGGACCCAGCAUCCCUCUAAUGAGCCAAUUAGGGGCUGAACACGGUGGCUCACACCUGCAAUCCCAGCAAUGAGGCAGGAGGCUCACUGGGAUUUGGAGGCUGCAGUGGUCCGUAACUACACGCCACUGCACUCCAGCCUGGGCAACAAGGGAGGCUCUGUCUCUAAAACACAACAAAGAAGCAUUCUGUGUUUAUUUAAAAGAAAUGUUUGCUCCCCUCCAAUUCUAUCCUUUUGCGUUUCAGAAGAAACUUUGUCUCUGGAUUAGUCCAGCUGAAAUUAUUUUUCUUGCCAUCCGUAUGGGGAAUUUUUCCAUUUUUCAACAAGAAAAUAACCCUUGGGCCAAAGGAACUGUGAAAAUGUUUAGUCUCCAGAAAGGCAUGCAGUCUUUCAGGGCAGCGGAAGCUGUGCAACUCUACUUUGGAGACUGCCAUUGUGUCAUUUAUGAAACAACCUUGCUUGCUUUUCCUUUGCACAUCCAGCAUCCAACUUCUGCGCCCCCACCCCAAUUCAUAAUAACUGCCCUUAGGAUGUCAUGGGGAGAUUUAUUAGGGUGGGGUGCUGCUGGAAUGCCACACGAUUAUCCAGAUAAGAGGCAUUUCAGAACCAGAGUGUGGAUGUGGGUGUGGAGCUUGGAGACUGGCUAUAGUCUCAGAUCCCUUGCUGGGUGGUCGUGGGAAAGUUGUCUCCUUUCCUUGUGUCUCAGUUUCUCCACUUGUCAAAACACAGUGUUUGAAUGGGAUCAUUUCAAUGCUGAAUGAUUUUUUUUUUUUUUUUGAGAUGGAGUUUCACUCUUGUGACCCAGGCUGGAGUGCAAUGGCGCGAUCUCGGCUCACCACAACCUCCGCCUCCUGGGUUCAGGCAAUUCUCCUGCCUCAGCCUCCUCAAUGCUGAAUGAUUUUUAUGAAUUAUCCUGAAGGGAAGAGGGUGAAGCUCAGAUCAGGGUAGUUUCUACAAUGAUUUACAUGAAACGAGUGAUGAAGAAGGCCAUUCCCUGUAUAUUCUUGGGGAGUGGAUAGGGGACGGGGCAGAGCUGAUUUUUAAAGUAUAUAUUCAUAUGACUUGAUGUUCUUAAUACAUUAAUUUUGGGUUUGUGAUAUGUGAGACCUGUUAAAGCACGGGCUCAGAGACGGGGACCCUUUUGCCUGGGUCUUGCCCAGAUGGUGGACGACUCAUUUAGUAGAUGCCAGUGUGGAUGGUUGAUGGCUACAGAUUACACUCUUAAACUAGAAAAUAAUUUGAAUCAUACAGUUCCAUUUAACAAGUGUUUCUCUGGGAAGGCUUCCCCAGUCUCUCUUCCUCCCUGAUUGACAGAAUUAAUCUCCAUCCUUAGAUCCAUUCCCACACAUACUUUUUAUUGCUACAAAUAUAGCACUGUAAUAUGUAAUUCAAAAACAUGUUAACAUUUGCUUCACUGUAUCA